UACGGAGGGUGUAAGCAUUAAUCGGAUUUAUUGGGCGUAAAGGGCGCGUAGGCGGACAGACAAGUCAGAUGUGAAAUUUCAGAGCUCACCUCUGAAGCUGCAUUUGAUACUGUUUGUCUAGAAGAUAGGCGGAGAAAAUAGAAUUUUACGUGUAGCGGUGAAAUGCGUAGAUACGUGAAGGAAUACCGGAGGCGAAGGCGAUUUUCUAGCUUAUUCUUGACGCUGAGGCGCGAAAGCAAGGGGAGCAAACAGGAUUAGAUACCCGCGUA
rnacentral:rRNA from 1 species